ensembl:lncRNA
UCCCACUCAGAAGAUAUUUCAAAACAAAUUGUUUCUAAAUUACUGGGCAGAUUAGAUUACAGUUAAAUAUCUAUUUUAUUGCCCAGGUAAUGUUCUUGGAAUGUGGGAGGGAGCCAUGCAGGACAGACUGGCAGUCAGUGUGCCGGUGUCCAGUGCCACCUCCUCCUGUAGGACUGCCACGGGCAGUGUGGGGCAGGAAGACAAUCCUGCACUGGGGCUUCACGGCACAGCCACAGAUGGAAGUCACGUGCAUCCCUCUCUCUGCAACACAUUUUACAAGAAUAUUAUGCUAUCAGAUGUAAGCUAUAUUGCUAUGCACGUGUGCACUGCUGCAUGAUGGUGACCACCAUCUCCUAACUGCAGGCUUAACGAGACUUAUUCAGUACAGAUUUAAUAUACUAUGUAAUUACUAUGUGAUUUUAGACAGUUAUUACAUACCACCUUUUCCAUAAACGCUUUUUAUAGAACAAUCAUCACUGACAUCUAUUUUCCCCUCCUGGUUGCUGCUUUUGGGAUAACUCUGUGUUUCCUCACAGCCGCCCCUCAGUCCGGUGGCGCCUGUUGACACGUCAUGCUGUAACGCACACUCCACAGGAAGGAAGAUAAGGUGGCAUUUCAGAGAUGUUCAUACCAUAGGAUGCCCACUGCUUGGGAUGAGGAGCAGGGUGGCUGUCAGCACUUCCAUCUCAGGAGCUGUUUUUGGUAGCGGCCAUGGGGAAAGCCAAAGAAGUCAAGCACUGAGAGAUGAAGACAAAGAACAAACAUUAUAAGGGACACAGAUUAAUAAAAGAAGCUUGGCCACACUACCUCCCCAUAAGCGACUGCCGUUUGUGUUAUCACAGUGCUGAAGGAGAGCUGGGAGUGAGCUGUCAGCAGAUGGUAAGCAGCAACUCUGGCAGGUCUGCAAAUGAGGGAAUUUCCCUGCCUGAGCCAGUGGGAUCAAGUACUCAUCUUUGCUGGAUUGCUCUUUACAAGUCAAGAGAGCCCAUCAGGUCAAAACAUGUGCUUCACCGUGGCUGGCCUAAAGAGAAAAGCUUUUUUCUCCUGUGAAACACAGACUUUUCUCUGUUCCACUUAAUAGGUACUCUCCAGGAGAUGCAAAGAAAUACAUCUAAAAAAAACAAACCCAGGGCUCAUCUACUUUUCUAGUUUUCAGUCACCCUACCAAAGUGGUGCUUCUGUUCUGCAAACAAACUGGGUGCGAGCGCACUAACGCAUGCACAGACCUCAUUGUAAUCACUUCUUCCUACCAGCUUCUCUGUCUGCUCCCUUUGCUACACACAGUGGAGAGACAGAAGAGAGUGGUUCGUGUAUAAAACUCCACAGGGAUUCUCUGGCUCUUUCUUUUCUCGUUUUGUGGCUUUGCAGCAUACAGG